GGGAACUAGAGGACACAAAAUACUCAACGUCGUUGCCUUUGUAAGAGAACAGCUCUGUGCCUUCUUCAUUAGUAAUCUGCUGUUUCUGUUGCUCAAGAGGUUCUGGUUCUCCUGAACCUUCUCCACUGGCUUCCUCUGGGAGCUCUUGUACACUCAGUUUCCACUCCAGGGGAGCAUCACAGGGUGUCACUGUUACUGCUAGGGGUGUGUUGUCCUCUUCCACCACAAAAAAGUACCUUUUAGGUGUGUCUCGGAAGAGGUAGCUGCUAAUUUCGGCUCCAUCUGGGAUGACUGAUGAAUCAUGAAAAAACGCUUUGUCCCGGAUCUGCAUCUGGAAUAGCUCCUCAUCUCUGGUAGGCAGCUUCUGCAUCCUGGAGCUGAGCGGCAGCAGCAGCAAGAGCAGCGGGCAGUGGAGCAGGAGCAUCCUUGCUGCGUCCCGUCACGGAGAUCCCUCGGGGCCCGGCUUUUUCGGGAGGGGGGGGAGGUGUAUGGCGAAACCCCGCUCCGGCGGGGACGGGCUGCAGCUGGGACUGCGUCCCGCCCGUCCCUCCGCGCUUUAUAGCCCC
rnacentral:lncRNA from 1 species